CAGCCGUGCAUCCAAGCCUCAGCACAAUUUUGUUCUUCAGAAUCACAACCAGUAUCACUGAGUUCUUGUAGCAAAUUAGCAUCCAAAAUCUCACUGAUCCAUUCCGGAAAUGCCGCAUACACAAAAUUGUGGAGGUUUAAGCCAUCCUUGAAUAUUUCAUCAGUUGGUCUCUUUCCGGUGAUCAUUUGUAGAAGAAGUACUCCAUAGCUAUAGACAUCACCUUCAGUUGUAUUCUUGACGCCCAGGGCAUACUCUAGAUUGAUGAUGACUAAAUUAGAGGUAUAUAUAAAAUAACAAGAAAUCAAUAGAGAUUUUUUUUCCAACCAGCCCCAAAUCCCUCCCGCCGCCGCACCAACCUCCUGCGCCGUCGCUCUCCUCCUGGCGCCGCUCGCCUCCUCCGACGGGAGUCUCCGAUUUGAUCGCCAGUCGUGUGCCACUCUCCUGCGGUGAUUCUUGCCCCCCUUCUAUGCAUCGGCGGCGACGGCAACACAAGCGUUGGAUGGAUCCUAGGGAUCCAAUCUUCUCCACGGCAGUUUGCUAUUUCUCCCGUGGAGAUGCUCUAGCGAGUUAGGUGCCCCGUCGAGCUUCUCGUUCUGCGCAAGUUGCCCCUUGAUCUACCUCACACCGAAUCCCCAAGAUCAAAGAUUCUUCGAGAGGAUCUUAAUUACCUCUAGUUUAAUUGGAGCACGGCGGAUGUGUGGAUGGAUAUUGGUUGUUUUUUUUUCAAUCGACUGCUGUUUUACUCCCUAUUGUGGUGAGAUGGUGCCACUGCUGCCUUGCUGGGAUGACUGGAUCUAACCCUGGUGCCAACGACCAUUCGACAAUAUGCUGAAUGGCAGGACCUCCUUGCGAAACUGUCAGGUUUGCGAUCUUGCGGUGGUUUGGCAGCCUGCGGAUUCGGCAGCACUGGAUUGGGACUGGGACGGAGCCACAUGCGGAGGACUGGCCUACAGGCUACAACGACAUUGCGGGGUGGGUGCUUCGCCGCCCAGCAAUGCCCAAGACAUGCUGCUGGGCUAAUGUUAAGAGAAGAAUAAUUUAAUUGGCUGUAUAUGAAUGCACUAUCAGGGAGGAAGCUGCGGAACAAAUAAUUUAUUUUGUAGAAUCAAGUGCCUAAAAAGGACAGUAUGUCUAAAACUGAAAUCUGAUUCACUCUGGGACUGGCGCGUGUCUUUAUUUUCAGGUAUUUGUUGCACCUUGUGCAUUCUCAUGUAUGGACCUUGGAGUAGAUCUUCAGAGAGGUCGAUGAUGGUUGUAGUAAUUGGUAUUUUACCAUUAUUCCAUUGAUAAAAUUUCUGAGUAUGUAUAGAUUGUCAAAUAUACACUUCGGUUUACUUCGUGGGGUUACAUGUAAUUUAUUUGUGUCCAAAGAAUGUAAUUUAUUUUUUAUGUGAA